UACGGAGGGUGCGAGCGUUGUCCGGAAUCAUUGGGCGUAAAGAGCGUGUAGGCGGCCAGGUAGGUCCGCUGUGAAAACUCGAGGCUCAACCUCGAGAUGUCGGCGGAAACCAUCUGGCUAGAGUCCGGAAGAGGAGAGUGGAAUUCCUGGUGUAGCGGUGAAAUGCGCAGAUAUCAGGAAGAACACCCGUGGCGAAGGCGGCUCUCUGGGACGGUACUGACGCUGAGACGCGAAAGCGUGGGGAGCGAACAGG
rnacentral:rRNA from 1 species